CCAAUUGCGAAGGCAGCUUUCUGGAUCAUUACUGACACUGAGGAACGAAAGCAUGGGUAGCGAAGAGGAUUAGAUACCCUCGUAGUCCAUGCCGUAAACGAUGUGUGUUAGACGUUGGAAAUUUAUUUUCAGUGUCGCAGGGAAACCGAUAAACACACCGCCUGGGGAGUACGACCGCAAGGUUAAAACUCAAAUGAAUUGACGGGGACCCGCGCAAGUAGUGGAGCAUGUGGUUUAAUUCGAAGAUACGCGCAGAACCUUACCAACACUUGACAUGUUCGUCGCGACUCUAAGAGAUUAGAGUUUUCGGUUCGGCCGGACGAAACACAGGUGCUGCAUGGCUGUCGUCAGCUCGUGUCGUGAGAUGUUGGGUUAAGUCCCGCAACGAGCGCAACCCUCACUUUUAGUUGCCAUCAUUAAGUUGGGCACUCUGAAAGAACUGCCAGUGAUAAGCUGGAGGAAGGUGGGGAUGACGUCAAGUCCUCAUGGCCCUUACGUGUUGGGCUACACACGUGCUACAAUGGCAUCUACAACAGGAAGCGAAACGGCAACGUUAAGCAAAUCCCGAAAAGAUGCCUCAGUUCGGAUUGCACUCUGCAACUCGAGUGCAUGAAGCUGGAAUUACUAGUAAUCGUGGAUCAGCGUGCCACGGUGAAUGCGUUCCCGGGUCUUGUACACACCGCCCGUCACACCAUGGGAGUUGGUUCUACCUUAAGGCAAGGUUUUAAACCCUUGACCACGGUAUAGUCAGCGACUGGGGUGAAGUCGUAACAAGGUAACCGUA
rnacentral:rRNA from 1 species